UAAAGCUAGAUAACCGAAAGUAACAAGAAUCCCAUUACGCUCCUGAAAGGCAUCAAGAUCCCCAACACAUAUCCCCCAUAAUGCACCACCCCAUUCUACCAUUCACAGCAAAACAAGCAAAAAAAAUGGCCGUCAUCAUAGGACAAUGGGGGCAGAAGAAAAAGUCAAACUACCAACACCACCGUGACAGAAUGCUGGCAAAAUGAGGCUGGAAAAACAGGGAGAGGAUGAGAGGUUGCUGUUGACUCUGACUCCCUCUUCUCGCCCUCCUCCGUAUCGCCUCUCCCCUUCUCCCCUCCCUCGCUUCAUCCUCAGCUGCCUUCCCCAUUCUCCUGUACCGCGAGACGUAGCCCACGCCACCAUCUUAGGACGACGCUCGCUGGCAUGAAAUGGAAGUGAGGACCAGAGAGAGCAGGCAAAUAAUGGUCCAGAACACUGAUAGAAGGCAGAAAGAACAGCGAGCAGUAAUCCAUUGGGAGAAGAAAAGUUGCCCACAAACUACCAACCCAUCCCUAGUAUUUGCAAUGGAACAGGCCCAUUACAACAAUGUUUGUCCACUAUACUCCGACUUGUGCCCCAACAUUUGAGCAUCAGAGCACUUUAGCUGCCUCUGACGUGUGGUAAGACUUCCGGCCUGGGUUUUGUUAUCCAGCAAGGGCCAAUCUGGAUUGGUUUUGUUUCCUUUCUUAAGCCAAUACGAAAGUGGGUUGGUGGCGUGGAAAACAAGAGCAAAUAUCUCAGGAUCCAAGAUGAACAGAGAAGCAGUGAUUCUUGGAUACACUGGGCUAUGAAUGAGAUACAUUACAUGUGCUGUGUCCCUACAGUAUUUGCUUGCAGCCUCAAUAACAUCUACACAAAACAUUAAGAACACCUGCUCUUUCCAUGACAGACUGACCAGGUGAAUCCAGGUGAAAGCUAUGAUCCCUUAUUGAUGUCACUUGUUAAAUCCACUUCAAUCAGUGUAGAUGAAGGGGAGGAGACAGGUUAAAGAAGGAUUUUUAAGCCUUGAGAAAAUUGAGACAUGGAUUGUGUGUGUGCCAUUCAGAGGGUGAAUGGGCAAGACAAAAAAAUGUACGUGUCUUUGAACAGGGUAUGGUAGUAGGUGCCAGGCACACCGGUUUGUGUCAAGAACUGCAACACUGCUGGGUUUUUCACACUUAACAGUUUCCUGUGUGUAUCAAGAAUGGUCCAACAGCCAAAGGACAUCCAGCCAACUUGACACAACUGUGGGAAGUAUUGGUGUCAACAUGGGCCAGCAUCCCUGUUGAACGCUCUUCAACACCUUGUAGAGUCCCAUGCCCAGACGAAUUGAGGCUGCAACUCAAUAGUAGGAAGGUGUCCUUAAAUGUUUUGUACACUCAGUGUAUGUUACAUGGGAGGAAAUGUUCCUUGCAAUACAGAUUCUUAAGUGCAAACAUUUAUAUAAUAGCAUAGAGCACUUUACUACUACUACUACUACUACUACUACUACUUUAAUUUGAAGUAAAUAACAAUGUAUGAAUAGAGUCAAUGGUGUUGCAUGGGAAUGUUGUAUAACAAGCUGUAUAAAUAACAUAGACCUACCUAGAUCAUUACGGUUAGAAUUUUAGCCCAUUUUCAUGUUUGUUUUAUUAUUUACUAGUUGCUAUGACUGACAGAUACAUGAAUGUGAGACCCACGGCAGCAGUGAAGAAUACUGCACUGCGAUUAGAUGGCUCCGUGUGUCACAUGACACACAGGCGAAUGGGAGAGCUGUUGUCUUUAUACUCUAUGCAACUGUUUUUGGUACCAAAUAUAUUGGGCAAGCCGUAAACUGGAUUAUUUUUGGCCGAACAAUCUCAUGAAAUAUUAUGCUGUUUAUUCAGUUCUCUCUCACAGUGUAGUUUUUUUUUACACUCAAUCUGCCAAUUUAGGCUGUAUGUGUGUGUGUGUGUGUGUGUGUGUGUGUGUGUGUGUGUGUGUGUGUGUGUGUGUGUGUGUGUGUGUGUGUGUGUGUGUGUGUGUGUGUGUGUGUGUGUGUGAGAGAGAGAGAGAAAGUGAGAGAGAGAGAGAGAGAGAGAGAGAAAAGUUAGACAUUACAGAUGAACAUAACACAUUUGAUUUAUAAAACAAAUUGUGGAGAGACAUUUUAGUUUUAAUUUUUCAAUAACAGAAUUGAAUAUGCUGGCCCUAAACCUCUGCCAAUGCAAAUCAGUGUAGGAAUUACACAUCUAAUAUUCUUGAUGGCAGAGCUCUGUUUGAUCAGCAGUGCGGUUUAUAGGGAGUAAGCUAGGCUGCACUGGCAGAACAUACUAAACCACUAAAGCUUUCCAAGUAGGCUUUGAAUGCAAAGCCUGGCUUUCCCUAGCAAACCACAUCAGCGUAAUACAAGGUACUUUAGAGUAAGACAUGAUAAAUAUAGAGAUUUCAAAGGCUUCCUUCAUUUCCUGUCCUUGACAUUAUCGCAUACACGCACACACACACACACGCACACACACACACACAAACACACACACACACAAUACACACACACACACACAAUACACAUGCGAGCAAAUGCAAUAAUGCAAGCACUAUCAUAGACUAGUUUGUUUUAUAUACAUUUUCAGAAAGUGCCAUAUUGUUAUUCCAAUUGAUAAUCUAUGCAAAUCUUUGAAGUAUUUUCUUUAACAAUCUAUUCGGGUGCUUGUACAAUUGAGUUGAGUUUGAGUUGGUCUGAAUUUGUAAAUGUAUUAUUUUGAUAAUCACAAUGCUAUAGUAUUACUUAUCUGCCUGGAUAAGCUUGAAAUUUAAAAAAAUAAGUAAUACGUUGAACAAAUUGUGGUCGCUGAAGUUAUUCAAUAAUGAUAUGUUUCUUGUUUUGUUUUGCACCAAGAUGAAAUGUCUAUUCAGAUAUUUUUAAGCAAAACCGGUGUUGUUUGUUAUAUGCAGUCUAAUAUGUAUUAUGUAAUGCUAGAAUGAAUGAAUGAAUGAACCACGUGUGCCUUUGUAUGAAAAACAAACGGUCUUGUCACGGAUUAGUAAUAAAAGUUUACAUUGAAAACAAA